UACCUUAGGAAAAUAGCAAACCCAUGAAUUUACACAUACUGUACAUUAUUUAAACUGGUUCCCCUCUAAAUACAUUUAAGUUUAAAAAAGAAAUUGAUUGGAAAGACCAAUAUUGUUGGACUUAUAAAAACAGGGGCCUGAGCUGAGCCCUGUAGCUCACACAUGUAAUCCAAGAGCUCUGAGAGGCUGAGACAGGAGGAUUGCUUGAGGCCAGGAGUUUGAGACCAGCCUGGGCAACAUAGCAAGACCUUGUUUCUUCCAAAAGACAUUAAAAAAUUACCUGGGCAUGGUGGCUUAUGUCUAGUCCCCAGUUAUUCAGGAGGCUGAGGAGGGAGGAUUCCUUGAGCCCAGGAGGUCGAGGCUGCAUGAGCUAUGAUUGCCUCCCUCCACUCCAGCCUGGGUGACAGGGAGAGACCCUGCCUCAGAAAUAAAUAAAUGAAAUAAACAAAAUAAAAUAUCCAGAAUCUGUCCACCUGGACACUUGUCCGCACCUCUGCUGUCACUGCCCAGUGUGAGCCACAGAUAACUGUCUCCUGAAAUAUACAAGUGCCCCCCGCCAACUUCCAUGCUUCCAUCCUGCCCCCACCCCUACAGGCUGUCUAUCUCAACCCAGAUGUCAGAGCGAUCCUUUACAAACAUAAAUCAUAUCAUGUCAGGCUGUGCGCAGUGGCCCACACCUGUAAUCCCAGCACUUUGGGAGGCCAAGGCAGGCGCAUCACCUGAGGUCAGGAGUUCAAGACCAGCCUGACCAACAUGGAGAAACCCCGUCUCUACUAAAAAUAUAAAAUUAGCCGGUCAUGGUGGCGCAUGCCUGUAAUCCCGGCUACUCCAGAGGCUGAAGCAGGAGAAUCGCUUGAACCCAGGAGGCGGAGGUUGCAGUGACCCAAGAUCACGCCAUUGCACUCCAGCCUGGGCAACAAGAGCAAAACUCUGUCUCAAAAUAAAUAAAUAAAUAAUAUCAUGUCUUAUUUGGGUUCCAAUCCCUACCAUGGCUCCCAAGUUCACACCGAAAACAUGGUGACGUCCUCCCAUGGCCAUGAGGCUCCACAUGACCUGGCCCCUCUUACUUCUCUGACCUCACUUCUCACUUGGUUCACCCACCACCCCCUUGAUCUUCCUGGAAUACAUCAGACACACCUCCAACCUUUGGUGUAUCCCUGGCUGCUCCCCUGCCUGGGACGCCCUUCACACCAGAUACCUGCACGGCUUACUGCCUUCUUCCUUUUCAAGUAUCACUUUCUCGAAGCCUACCUUGAUCACAUCUUCAUCAUUCCAUCUUCCUUCGCCUCCAUCCUUUCUGGCCCUUUUUGUUGUUGUUCUUUUUUGAGACAGUGUCUUGCUCUGUUGCCCAGGCUGGAGUGUAGUGGCUCAAACACAGCUUACUGCAGCCUCAACCUCCCUGGCUCAAGCCAUCCUCCUACCUCAGGCUCCGGAGUAGCUGGGACUGCAGGUGCACACCACCAUGCCCGGUUACUUUAGGGUUUUGCUAGAGAUGGGGCCUCGCUAUGUUGUCCAGGAUGGUCUUGAAUUCCUGUGCUCAAGCAAUCCUCCUGCCUCAGCCUCCCAAAGUGCUGGGAUUACAGGCUGAGCCAGCACACCUAGCCCCCAGCAAUACCAUUGAUCCUGCUCAACAUUUUCUUUUCUCCAUUGCUCUAAUCUCCUUCUAGCAAUCUAUAAAAUUCUAUGAUCUUCUUAUUAUUGCAUCAGUCAGAACAGGCUGGCUUAUGCUGCCGUAACAUACAUUGCAAACCCCAAAAUCUCAGUGAUGUAAAAAAACAUUUAUUUCUCACUCACGUUUCAUGACUCAGGGAUCUACACUGAUUAAACAGGCUUCAUUUAAAAUAUUUCCAGUUCUCAUGUCUGGGGCAGAAGGAAAGCUCUAGGGGGCCUCUUGCCAGCAAUUAAAUGCUCUGCCCCGAAGUAUCGCAUCACUGCUCCUCACAAUUCAUUGGCCAGAACUGGUCACAUGGUUUCAGCCAACCAUAAGAGAUGCAGGAAGUAAAAUCGUACUAUUGCUGGGCUCCGUGGCUCAAGCCUAUAAUCCCAGAACUUUGGGAGGCCAAGGUAGGAGGAUCGCUUGGGCUCAGGAAUUCAAGUCUAGCCUGAGCAACAUAGCAAGGCCUCACC
rnacentral:lncRNA from 1 species